rnacentral:lncRNA from 1 species
AAGGCUUGAAAAGGUUGUAUUUCAUUUUAAACCUUAGAUUUUUCACCCAUUUGAGCUUUGAAUUUUAAACCUAUAGGGUUUAUCUAUAAAAAGGGGUUUGUUGCAUAAAUGAGCUACCCCAUAAUUUUUAGUAUUAAAUUUGGAGUUGAAAAACUAUUUUUAUUUAAAUAAUUAUAAAGCUCAAAAGGCAUUUAUAGGGCAAGACUAUUUUUAACUAUUUCAUUUUGAAGGGAAAUUAGUCCCAAAAGUUGAAUCAUAUUGUAAUAUGAUUUUACAAAUUUUCUGAAAUUUAUUUGAAUCAAUUUGAAGUUCAAAAUCAAAAGAUAUCGAAGAAAUCAGAAAAAGAAAAGGAAAGAACAAAAAAAAAGAGAAAACCGGACCGGCCCAGCCAUUUGGGCCGAACCAACCCCGUUCGGCCGCGCACCCGCACCCGAGCCGGCCCAACGCCUGCACGCGCCCGCAC